UACGUAGGGGGCAAGCGUUGUCCGGAAUUACUGGGCGUAAAGGGCGCGUAGGCGGCGCGAGAAGUCAGGCGUGAAAGCCCCGGGCUCAACCUGGGAGGUGCGCUUGGGACUCUUGUGCUUGAGUUCGGGAGAGGAGCGUGGGAAUUCCCAGUGUAGAGGUGAAAUUCGUAGAUAUUGGGAAGAACACCGGUGGCGAAGGCGGCGCUCUGGACCGAGACUGACGCUGAGGCGCGAAAAGCGUGGGGAGCAAACAGGG
rnacentral:rRNA from 1 species